rnacentral:rRNA from 1 species
GACGACGCUGGCGGCGUGCCUAACACAUGCAAGUCGAGCGGGGUUGAAGCGAGGGGUAACUCGGACUUCUACCUAGCGGCGGACGGGUGAGUAACGCGUGGGCAACCUGCCUCAAGGUUUGGGAUAACAGCUCGAAAGGGCUGCUAAUACCGGAUAUGCCUGUGGCCUCGCAUGGGGCUAUGAGCAAAGGGGAAACCCGCCUUGAGAUGGGCCCGCGUCCCAUCAGCUAGUUGGUGAGGUGAAGGCUCACCAAGGCGACGACGGGUAGCCGGCCUGAGAGGGUGACCGGCCACACUGGGACUGAGACACGGCCCAGACUCCUACGGGGGGCAGCAGUGGGGGAUCUUGCACAAUGGGCGAAAGCCUGAUGCAGCGACGCCGCGUGAGCGAAGAAGGCCUUCGGGUUGUAAAGCUCUGUCUGGAGGGACGAAACAAAUGACGGUACCUCCGGAGGAAGCCACGGCUAACUACGUG